rnacentral:lncRNA from 10 species
GCAUUUGAUGACAUGCAGCAUUACUUAGUUCUGUGAAUGAUUCGUGUGUCUUAAUGUCACUUCCCCAACAGACUGUAAAUUUCUUGAUGGCAAGAACCAUGUAACUGGUUUUUGUUAGAUUUCUGCAACUCAAGACCCAAUCCUGGGCAACUGUUGGACACUUAAACAUCCUUCAUCACUAGCUGCGUUCAUCACUAGGAAAAACCAAAAACCAGGAACAACCCGGAUGUCCUUCAACAAGGGAAGGGUGACCCAGCCCGUGAUGCAUCCGUCACACUGUGGAUUGCUGCUCAGCAACGAGGAGGCACAGACUCGAUACGGGAGCCAGCCUGGGUGACGCUCCAGAGAACUACCCUGAGUGGAGAAGGGCAGUCCCACCGUGUGAUUCCAUUAUUAUCACAUUCUUGAAAUGACAGAAUUAUAGAAAGGAGAACAGAGGAGUGGCUGCCAGAGUUUAAGGAGGGAAUGGGGAAAGGGGGAAGAGCAGCAUGCGGGAUCCUUGUGACGGAAGCGUUUUGUGUCGUGUGGGUGUCUGUCAGUUUCCUAGCUGUGAUACUGUACCAUUGUCUUGUAAGAUGCUG